GAUGAAGAACGCAGCGAAAUGCGAUACUUGGUGUGAAUUGCAGAAUCCCGUGAACCAUCGAGUCUUUGAACGCAAGUUGCGCCCGAAGCCACUAGGCCGAGGGCACGCCUGCCUGGGCGUCACACGUCGUUGCCCCCCACCAUCUACUCCUUCGGGAUUGCGGGGGGCGGAUGAUGGCCUCCCGUGCGCCUAGCCGCGCGGUUGGCAUAAAUACCAAGUCCUCGGCGACGCACGCCACGACAAUCGGUGGUUGCGAAACCUCGGUUGCCCGUCGUGUGCGUUCGUCGCGCAUCGAGGGCUCGAAAAAAUGCUCGGCUCCGGCUCGGCUUUCAACGCGACCCAGGUCAGGCGGGGUUACCCGCUGAAUUUAAGCAUAUCAAUAAGCGGAGGA
rnacentral:misc_RNA from 1 species